rnacentral:rRNA from 1 species
UGAGUAACCUGCCCUUAACUCUGGGAUAAGCCUGGGAAACUGGGUCUAAUACCGGAUAUGACUCCUCAUCGCAUGGGUGGGGGGUGGAAAGCUUUUUGUGGUUUUGGAUGGACUCGCGGCCUAUCAGCUUGUUGGUGAGGUAAUGGCUCACCAAGGCGACGACGGGUAGCCGGCAUGAGAGGGUGACCGGCCACACGUGGGACUGGAGACACCGGCCCAGACCUCCGUACGGGGAGGCAG